rnacentral:rRNA from 1 species
UAAUCUAAUUAAACGGCCGCGGUAUUUUAACCGUGCAAAGGUAGCGUAAUCACUCGUCCCCUAAUUAGAGACCAGUAUGAACGGCUACAUGAGGGCCCAACUGUCUCCUACAGCCAUUCAAUGAAACUGAGCUUUCAGUCAAAAAGCUGAAAUAAACCCAUAAGACGAGAAGACCCCGUGGAACUUCAAGCAACCCACUACUAAAACUAGAUUGGACCAACCAACAGGCCACUAACACCUUAGAUAUAGUAGGAUAACAGCUUUUAGUUGGGGCGACUGCGGAGCAUAAUAAAACCUCCAUGAACAAGAGCUAACCCCUCAUUUCAGGCUGACAAGCCAAGAAAUAUAAAAUAUUUGACCCAGUUUAACUGACCAUCGAAUCAAGCUACCCCGGGGAUAACAGCGCCAUCCUCUUAAAGAGUUCAUAUCGCCAAGAGGGCUUACGACCUCGAUGUUGGAUCAGGACACCCUGGCAGUGCAGCCGCCGCCAAAGGUUCGUUUGUUCAAC